rnacentral:rRNA from 1 species
CAGCAGCCGCGGUAAUACGAGGGGUGCAAGCGUUAAUCGGAAUUACUGGGCGUAAAGCGUUCGUAGGCGGUUAUUUAAGCAAGAUGUGAAAGCCCAGGGCUCAACCUUGGAACUGCAUUUUGAACUGGWUGACUAGAGUACUGUAGAGGGUGGUGGAAUUUCCAGUGUAGCGGUGAAAUGCGUAGAKAUUGGAAGGAACAUCAGUGGCGAAGGCGGCCACCUGGACAGAUACUGACGCUGAGGAACGAAAGCGUGGGGAGCGAACAGGAUUAGAUACCCUGGUAGUCCACGCCGUAAACGAUGUCAACUAGCCGUUUGUGUCCUUGAGACGUGAGUGGCGCAGCUAACGCACUAAGUUGACCGCCUGGGGAGUACGGCCGCAAGGUUAAAACUCAAAGGAUUGACGGA